rnacentral:lncRNA from 1 species
CAAAGCAGACCCUCCGAGUUUGCUCACAGGAACAAGCUGGGUUGCACAGCUGCUGGCACACAAGAAACAAAAGGACCCUUGAAAUAACUUCCUUAUGGAGGCAUGAACAAAGAUUUCCAAUGAACAGAGAAAACAAAUAGCCACUGGGACCACACAUGCGUUCUGUAA